rnacentral:lncRNA from 1 species
GGCCGGGUGGGGCCAGAGUGUCCGUCGUGCCGUGGCGGGGCUCCCAGGAGACCCCUCGGGGCUUCCCCACGGGGGGGGGGCACUAGGUGAUUCCGCGCCCAGCCUCCUCCUGUCGGGGCCACUCAGCCUUCUCCGAUUUGGAUCCGGAGUUUUUUAAGCUGCGGGGACUUUUCUGUGCAGUACCUUGUUCAGUCCCCAUCGCAGCCUUUCCCACAGGGGCACGGUGGUCGCGGUGCCUCCCCCAGACUCACCGAGCACUUCCGGAACGUUCCCUUUUUCCUUCAUCGCUUCAAAAAUAACAGCUGCUUUGGAGAAUGUAUGCACCUUUCUAGACAGCCCUGAAGAAAGCGAGAAACUCAGGAACCGCAGGGCAGUGGAUGGUGGGGAGUACUUCUUUUCUUCCUGGCAGUCACCGUGGAGGGAAAAGAGAUCAGCCACCAUGACUGGCUUCGUCUAAUCCCCAGAACGAUGGACAUCUGCGUUGUCUCUACUCCUGGGCCAUUGUGAACAACAGGCUGUGAACACGGGCGUGCAAAUAUGUCUUUGAGAUCCCGCUUCCCAUUCUUGUAGGGACAGACCCAGAAGUGGAAUGGUUUGAUCACAAG